rnacentral:rRNA from 1 species
GACGAACGCUGGCGGCGUGCCUAAUACAUGCAAGUAGAACGCUGAAGAGAGGAGCUUGCUCUUCUUGGAUGAGUUGCGAACGGGUGAGUAACGCGUAGGUAACCUGCCUGGUAGCGGGGGAUAACUAUUGGAAACGAUAGCUAAUACCGCAUAAAAUUGAUUAUUGCAUGAUAAUUAAUUGAAAGAUGCAAUUGCAUCACUACCAGAUGGACCUGCGUUGUAUUAGCUAGUUGGUGAGGUAACGGCUCACCAAGGCGACGAUACAUAGCCGACCUGAGAGGGUGAUCGGCCACACUGGGACUGAGACACGGCCCAGACUCCUACGGGAGGCAGCAGUAGGGAAUCUUCGGCAAUGGGGGGAACCCUGACCGAGCAACGCCGCGUGAGUGAAGAAGGUUUUCGGAUCGUAAAGCUCUGUUGUAAGAGAAGAACGGGUGUGAGAGUGGAAAGUUCACACUGUGACGGUAUCUUACCAGAAAGGGACGGCUAACUACGUGCCAGCAGCCGCGGUAAUGCGUAGGUCCCGAGCGUUGUCCGGAUUUAUUGGGCGUAAAGCGAGCGCAGGCGGUUAGAUAAGUCUGAAGUUAAAGGCUGUGGCUUAACCAUAGUAUGCUUUGGAAACUGUUUAACUUGAGUGCAGAAGGGGAGAGUGGAAUUCCAUGUGUAGCGGUGAAAUGCGUAGAUAUAUGGAGGAACACCGGUGGCGAAAGCGGCUCUCUGGUCUGUAACUGACGCUGAGGCUCGAAAGCGUGGGGAGCAAACAGGGUUAGAUACCCUGGUAGUCCACGCCGUAAACGAUGAGUGCUAGGUGUUAGGCCCUUUCCGGGGCUUAGUGCCGCAGCUAACGCAUUAAGCACUCCGCCUGGGGAGUACGACCGCAAGAUUGAAACUCAAAGGAAUUGACGGGGGCCCGCACAAGCGGUGGAGCAUGUGGUUUAAUUCGAAGCAACGCGAAGAACCUUACCAGGUCUUGACAUCCCUCUGAUCGCUCUAGAGAUAGAGUUUUCCUUCGGGACAGAGGUGACAGGUGGUGCAUGGUUGUCGUCAGCUCGUGUCGUGAGAUGUUGGGUUAAGUCCCGCAACGAGCGCAACCCCUAUUGUUAGUUGCCAUCAUUCAGUUGGGCACUCUAGCGAGACUGCCGGUAAUAAACCGGAGGAAGGUGGGGAUGACGUCAAAUCAUCAUGCCCCUUAUGACCUGGGCUACACACGUGCUACAAUGGCUGGUACAACGAGUCGCAAGCCGGUGACGGCAAGCUAAUCUCUGAAAGCCAGUCUCAGUUCGGAUUGUAGGCUGCAACUCGCCUACAUGAAGUCGGAAUCGCUAGUAAUCGCGGAUCAGCACGCCGCGGUGAAUACGUUCCCGGGCCU